CUUAAACAUUUUGUGGGGGUGUCCAGUAAUUAGAAUGCGGGGCCCCCGGGGGGCUGCGAUUUGGUCACCGGGGACUCUACAGCUCAGAAUAUAGGAUGCGGAUGAACUCUUUCUGAUCGGGGGUGGUGUGCAGGCCGUUUAGUGGGAGGAUUUUUGGUAAUCCGAUACGACGGCCCUACCUGUAAUUAGUCGUCUCAUUUAGGGAUAGCUCUAGAGGGCUAUCAUUCGGUGCGUGAAGGUGCUCAAUACAGGUCAUGAGCCAUUAUAGUCAUGGGCUGCACGCGUGCUACACUGAUGCAUGCACCAAGUUCCUAGCUAGACAUAGUAUGGCGAUCUGGAAUAUGCGUCCUCCUGGGGGUGGAUCUUGCAGUUAUAGAUCUUGAACGAGGAAUUCCUAGUAAGUGCAAGUCAUCAUCUUGCAGAGAAAAUGUCCCUGCCCUUUGUACACACCGCCCGUCGCUCCUACCGAUACCGGGUGAUCCGGUGAACCUUUUGGACCUCGCAAGAGGAAAAAUAAGUAAACCAUUAUCACCUAGAGGAAGGAGAAGUCGUAACAAGGUUUCCGUAGGGACUCGCAGAAGAUCAUAUUUUUUCCCUUUUCAUAACACAGAGGCUUUCUUUCUUUCUUUUACUUUU
rnacentral:rRNA from 1 species